rnacentral:rRNA from 1 species
CCUAUGGGAGGCAGCAGUGAGGAAUAUUGGUCAAUGGACGAGAGUCUGAACCAGCCAAGUAGCGUGAAGGAUGACUGCCCUAUGGGUUGUAAACUUCUUUUAUAUGGGAAUAAAAUGUUCCACGUGUGGGAUUUUGUAUGUACCCUAUGAAUAAGGCUCGGCUAACUCCGUUCCAGCAGCCGCGGUAAUACGGAGGAUCCGAGCGUUAUCCGGAUUUAUUGGGUUUAAAGGGAGCGUAGGUGGAUUGUUAAGUCAGUUGUGAAAGUUUGCGGCUGAACCGUAAAAUUGCAGUUGAAACUGGCAGACGUGAGUACAGGAGAGGGGGGCGGAAUGCGUGGUGUAGCGGUGAAAUGCGUAGAUAUCACGAAGAACUCCGAUGGCGAAGGCAGCUGACUGGACUGCAAAUGACACUGAGGCUCGAAAGUGUGGGGAUCAAACAGGAUUAGAUACCCUGGUAGUC